UACGGGGGGGGCAAGCGUUGUUCGGAAUUACUGGGCGUAAAGGGCUCGUAGGUGGCCAACUAAGUCAGACGUGAAAUCCCCAGGCUCAACUUGGGAACUGCGUCUGAUACUGGAUGGCUUGAAUUCGGGAGAGGGAUGCAGAAUUCCAGGUGUAGCGGUGAAAUGCGUAGAUAUCUGGAGGAAUACCGGUGGCGAAAGCGACUCACUGGCCCGACACUGACACUGAGGUGCGAAAGCUAGGGUAGCAAACGGG
rnacentral:rRNA from 1 species